UGGCCAAGGUGACAUUUGCUUGGUGGUGUCUG
rnacentral:piRNA from 1 species